rnacentral:lncRNA from 1 species
AAACGAACAGAAAAGUAGGACAGAGACAGUGGGGUGCAAGGGAAGAUGUACUGUAUCUUUUUCCCCGCAAAAAGGUUCUUUUUGGGUGCAAGAAUAUUGGAGUAUCAUUUUUCCCUUCAUAGAAGUGGCGGAAGUUUAGGGCCAUGCACGAGGGAAUACCACAAGAAUCUACAAUAGAUUUCUUAUUAAAAAAAGAACCUAGAAAGAGAUUUUCCACGCUUGACAACAACAAGAAAAAAAAGAACAGAAAAAUAAUGCUCGGUGUGCCAAUGCAAAACGAAAACAUGUUUCAUUGUAAUGUUUUUUUUUGCUCCAAGAUUACUAAUACUAGCAACGAAUCCUUCUCUAACCAGAAUGGGAGAAAUAGCAGAGACAAAAAUAAUACAGUGUAGUACUAUGUAGUAUCUUUUUGAACGGAGACAGAAUAUUUUGGAAGGGAACAUGUCUCUCUUCUGUUCUCUCUCGCA